CCAACGGUGCGGCGGGCCGUUAGGAGCCCUCAGCGCCCCGCGGCCGCGCCGAGCCCGUGGCGGCGGAACCCGCUCGCCGCCGGAAAGCAGCUCCCGUGCUCCCAGAGCAGCCGAAGGGCCAAGGGAGGCCGCGCCGGUAGCCACCGCGAUGCCCUGACACCGCCCCACAAGGUGACAGUUACCCUGGUUCCCUCGAAGCCAGCGCUGUGACCCCAGGUCCCCACAGCCCACAAGGAAAGGAGUCAGGGAGAACCAGUCAAACCCACCAUAGUAAUGAAGACAACUCCUUGUUCUACCUGAAACAAUGUUUUUUCUGCUAUCCUCAGAACAUUCAGCAAAUGCAAUUGCUAAGAAAAGCUUGGAGAGAGACGAGAGGAGAUGGGGAACGAAAUGACAAAGGAAUACUGAAUGGGAGAAAUGUCUCAUUCCGGUCAGCCUCAACCGCCACAGAUGUAUGAGAUACGUUGUCUAACAAAUGGAAGUGAAAUAAAGAGUCAUGACCUGACAAAAAUGGAACAGUGAAACAAACUGCAAGUCACUAAUUCAUAAAUGGAUAACCUGCAUACGAUUUUUUCCUAUUUAAUACUCAGGAACGUGUGAAGCCAGAAAAGUGCUACUUGGUUUCAAGGGCCAUUUUAUUACUGACUUUGGACCUAGUAAGUCUGCUUUGUUAACAGUCUUUUGGCUCUAUAACAAGGCAAAUGAUGAUCAACAACUGUAUGAAAAUGAUCUUCUACAAGUAGAUUUACAGUUCAUUUAGGUGACAAAAUCUCGAUUUAACCUACUGCCAGUUAUUUAAACACCUAGGAAAAUGAAGUAUGGCAUACAUAAAUUUACAUUGUAUGAUUUCCUAAAACCUAAAUCACACAUGAGCAUACAGACACAUAUAAGCCAUGGUUAAGAUAUAAAUCACCCUUUUAUCUGAACAGACUUAAAUAUGUAAUUGAGCCCAUAGCUCUCUGGCUUUUGAUAAGAACCACAGGAAAUACAAAAUCACUGACUAUUGCCUUUUCUCUCUUAUAUCCCUAGCAGUAUCUACAAUGUGUUUUGAGUAAUCGUUUCCUGCUACAAACACACACUGUAUCUUUAAGUCAUGUAAAAAAGAAAAAAAGGAUCCUUUUAAGUAAGGAUGACAUUGCAUUUUGCAACAGUCAGCACUACCUGCACUGUUGAGAGGAAAAGAUGCUCUGCAGUUACAGAAAUUCUAGAUAGUGCCUAAAGGUCACAAGUGAUUAUAUGAUUGCUUGUAUAUAAGGCUGCUUUUGUUCAUUAUGCAGAUUAGAAACCUAAAACCUUAUGACAUCUUACGUAAAUGUGAGCAGGGAAACACUAAACCCAUUUUCUUAAAUAUCAAUUCAAGUACACGUGCUUCAAGAAGCAUCUAGGCCUUCUAUACUCUGAAAUAAGUUUCAGCAAAUUUGUUGUCUCUUGUUUAACAGAUAGAACUUUUGAUCUUCAUUCAAAAACUGCAUCCCUUCAUUUUAGUUUUCAUACUGGAAAUUAUACACGUCCUUCCAAGUUUUCUUGGUUUUAUGGUGAUGUAAGUAAAGAGGCACAUGUAAAAGUAAGUGCUACAAACAGCAUGCAGCUUAGUCAGUGGGACAACACUACUAAGAAAUAGGGAAGUAAAUACUAAUUUCUAUGCUCUCCCUCCCCAAUGCAGUUUUCCCCGACAAAGCAUCCAAAUUCUCUCCAUCCUCAACUGCCAUCUACUCUCUGCAGAAGCUAAAAAGCAGCCUUUUUAUUGGAAAGCCUCUCUACCAUACCUGGAACUAAGCCAGCUACUCAUCAUGCUGGGUUUCUGCAUCCCCUCCCAAUCCCAGCCACAGCAGAGAACAAGACCAUUAGUGUCUCUUUAGCUUUCAUCCAGUGACAGAUAUUUGUUAGGAAAUUAAAAAAAAAAAAAAAAAAAGCUCCCUGGAUGGUCUAAAUGUUAGUUAUUAACAUUCUAUAAUCCCUUCAACACAUGUAAGAGAUGAUCCCCUGUGCAAAUGAAACCUUGGAAUAAAGUUAAGAGCACAUUAAGCCUACUGUUUUUCCUGAAGAAAUAUAAAGCCAGAGCCAAGAUUCAGGAAUUCUUUCCUGGUACAAAUAUUACUGUAAGGAUAGCAGCAGCAAAAAA